AUGGAAGGGCUCCUACAUUGGGAUUUCAACCCUGGCCUUGCAUUGGCCGAGCAGGUACGUCGCCGGUUUGGAGAAACGGUGCACUUCUCUCCUUCGUGCAAGACCAAGGAAUUUUUCUUGGUUGUCUCCUUUUCCUCAGCUUCCUUCCCCCUCAAUGAGGAAUCUGUGGGUGUGGCUCUACAAUGUUGCAUUGGUGGCCAUCAUCUUGGUUUUAAGGUUUCUAAGAUUUUUGAGAAGUCCUUUCGCUUUUCUGUGGUCGGGAACAAGGUUGGACAUUUUAUUCAUGGCCUCAAGGACCAUACUUGGCCAGAUUUCAUCUGUUCAAUGGUCGUUUCAGUGGGUACAAGCAUUUGGAUUCUCGUUGGCAUGCAGAUGAAAGGCUGGACUCUAUUGCUAGUCGGAGCCCCGUGGUUGUGCGCAUUGCCACAUCAGUUUUCACACAGCCCUCUGGACUUGAUCAUACAACCUCCAAAGAGUUAUGCAAAUUUGGCUCGUUCCUAUAGCUUCCAUGGAUUUCAACGACAUGAACAGUCAUGA
rnacentral:rRNA from 1 species